CACAACAAACUACACACACAAAAACUGCGCACAAUGCGAAUACUGCAGCGUGUCAUUCCCCUGGUAAUCGAAGGCAGAUGGCUGCGUCGGUUUGAGCUGUAGUGAGAACCGCAUUUGAAGUGUUCUACACACCGCUCACUAGGCAGGGCUCUCAGCCAGAUAGCGAAGGUACAAACCCAUUGUCGGAGUUGGGUUUUUUCCGCUUCCCUCCAACAAUAGGCUUGAACACUCGGCUAAAGGCGAUGGUCAGUCUUUCUGCCUAGAACUAUGAACGGGAGUAGAAGUGCGCGUCGUGUGUAGUAAUUUAAUUUUUGUAUUUUGUGUGUAAUAUGUGUAUUCAUGAAUUUUUGUUGUAGGCAUAAAUGAAAAAAAGAAACAGUUAGUGGAAGGAAUUGUAGAAUAAUUGAGUUUGUGAAAAAAAGAAAUAGGAACCUGAAAAAUAAUUAAUUAUACACUUACCUGGAAACCCUGAAAAAGAAAAAAAAAAACUGAAAAAAAGUCCGCACAGUGGGCUUUUUUUUAUGUCUUCUCCAAAAUAGGCAUCAACCACAACUUUCUAGGCAGAAAGUGUAGAGAGCCACCAACAAACUCAAGCGAUUGGCUUACAGCAAGACCGAGCACUCUAACCGCAACUUUUACAACCGAUUGCGAAGGACAAUCGAACCUGGACAGACGUGUCCCAGAGGACGAAACAGGAAGACAUAUUCACACAAGGAUAUGGAUAAACAACGUAUCACACCAAAUUGAGGACCACACCACAUUGCUCAAAUACAUAACGAUUGCGCAAGUAUACAAAACCAUAAACUGUGACGUCACAAAUAGUAAAGUAUAUCAAAACACAUAGAAAAGUAUAUGUUGAGAAUUAAAUUAAAAGUAAAAGAAGUAUUUACACAUAGAAUUUAUAUAGUACGCCACUACAAACAUAAUACACGUGUAAGAAAUUAAAA